rnacentral:rRNA from 1 species
GAUGAACGCUAGCGGCAGGCUUAACACAUGCAAGUCGAGGGGCAGCACGGGUAGCAAUACCUGGUGGCGACCGGCGCAAGGGUGCGUAACGCGUGAGCAACAUGCCCUAUACAGGGGGAUAAUCCAGGGAAACUUGGUCUAAUAUCCCAUAGUAUUUAGAGGAGGCAUCUUCUAUAAAUUAAAGCUUCGGUGGUAUAGGAUUGGCUCGCGUGACAUUAGCUAGAUGGUGAGGUAACGGCUCACCAUGGCAAUGAUGUCUAGGGGUUCUGAGAGGAAGGCCCCCCACACUGGGACUGAGACACGGCCCAGACUCCUACGGGAGGCAGCAGUGAGGAAUAUUGGACAAUGGAUGGAAAUCUGAUCCAGCCAUGCCGCGUGCAGGAAGACAGCCCUAUGGGUUGUAAACUGCUUUUAUAUGGGAGCAAUAAGGUCUACGUGUAGACUGAUGAGAGUACCAUAUGAAUAAGCU